GACGAACGCUGGCGGCGUGCCUAACACAUGCAAGUCGAACGGAAAGGCCCUGCGUUUGUGGGUCGCUCGAGUGGCGAACGGGUGAGUAACACGCGAGUAACCUGUCCCUGUCUUUGGGAUAUCUUUAGGAAACUCGGGCUAAUACCGGAUAGGAGCUCCUGCUGCAUGGUGGGGGUUGGUAAGUUUCGGCCGUUGGGGCUAGUCUCGCGGCUUACCCGCUUGUUGGUGAGGUAGUGGCUUACCAAGGGUUUGACGGGUAGCCGGCCUGGGAGGCUAACCGGCCACAUUAGGACUAAGAUACGGCCCAGACUGGUACGGGAGGCAGCAGUGGGGAGUAUUGCACAGUGGGCGGACGCCAGAUGCAGCGGCGUCGCGAGCGUGAUGACGUGCUUCGGGUUGUGAACCAAUUUCGCCUGAGACAAAGCGUGAGUGACGGUAAUGGAUAAGAAAGCACCGGCUAACUACGUG
rnacentral:rRNA from 1 species